rnacentral:misc_RNA from 1 species
AAUGUAGUCUUAUGCAAUACUCCUGUAGUCUUGCAACAUGCUUAUGUAACGAUGAGUUAGCAAUAUGCCUUACAAGGAAAGAAAAGGCACCGUGCAUGCCGAUUGGUGGUAGUAAGGUGGUACGAUCGUGCCUUAUUAGGAAGGUAUCAGACGGGUCUAACAUGGAUUGGACGAACCACUGAAUUCCGCAUCGCAGAGAUAUUGUAUUUAAGUGCCUAGCUCGAUACAAUAAACGCCAUUUUACCAUCCACCACAUUGGUGUGCACCUGGGUUGAUGGCCGGACCGUCGAUUCCCUAACGAUUGCGAACACCUGAAUGAAGCAGAAGGCUUCAUUUGGUGACCCCGACGUGAUGGUUAGGGAAUAGUGGUCGGCCACAGACGGCGUGGCGAUCCUGCCCUCAUCCGUCUCGCUUAUUCGGGGAGCGGACGAUGACCCUAGUAGAGGGGGCUGCGGCUUAGGAGGGCAGAAGCUGAGUGGCGUCGGAGGGAGCUCUACUGCAGGGAGCCCAGAUACCCUACCGAGAACUCAGAGAGUCGUUGGAAGACGGGAAGGAAGCCCGACGACUGAGCAGUCCACCCCAGGCGUGAUUCUGGUCGCCCGGUGGAUCAAGCAUGGAAGCCGUCAUAAAGGAGCUGAGCUGACUCUGCUGGUGGCCUCGCGUACCACUGUGGCCAGGCGGUAGCUGGGACGUGCAGCCCACCACCAUGGGGAGCAGCAAGAGCAAGCCCAAGGACCCCAGCCAGCGCCGGCGCAGCCUGGAGCCACCCGACAGCACCCACCACGGGGGAUUCCCAGCCUCGCAGACCCCCAACAAGACAGCAGCCCCCGACACGCACCGCACCCCCAGCCGCUCCUUUGGGACCGUGGCCACCGAGCCCAAGCUCUUCGGGGGCUUCAACACUUCUGACACCGUCACGUCGCCGCAGCGUGCCGGGGCACUGGCUGGCGGCGUCACCACUUUCGUGGCUCUCUAUGACUACGAGUCCCGGACUGAAACGGACUUGUCCUUCAAGAAAGGAGAACGCCUGCAGAUUGUCAACAACACGGAAGGUGACUGGUGGCUGGCUCAUUCCCUCACUACAGGACAGACGGGCUACAUCCCCAGUAACUAUGUCGCGCCCUCAGACUCCAUCCAGGCUGAAGAGUGGUACUUUGGGAAGAUCACUCGUCGGGAGUCCGAGCGGCUGCUGCUCAACCCCGAAAACCCCCGGGGAACCUUCUUGGUCCGGGAGAGCGAGACGACAAAAGGUGCCUAUUGCCUCUCCGUUUCUGACUUUGACAACGCCAAGGGGCUCAAUGUGAAGCACUACAAGAUCCGCAAGCUGGACAGCGGCGGCUUCUACAUCACCUCACGCACACAGUUCAGCAGCCUGCAGCAGCUGGUGGCCUACUACUCCAAACAUGCUGAUGGCUUGUGCCACCGCCUGACCAACGUCUGCCCCACGUCCAAGCCCCAGACCCAGGGACUCGCCAAGGACGCGUGGGAAAUCCCCCGGGAGUCGCUGCGGCUGGAGGUGAAGCUGGGGCAGGGCUGCUUUGGAGAGGUCUGGAUGGGGACCUGGAACGGCACCACCAGAGUGGCCAUAAAGACUCUGAAGCCCGGCACCAUGUCCCCGGAGGCCUUCCUGCAGGAAGCCCAAGUGAUGAAGAAGCUCCGGCAUGAGAAGCUGGUUCAGCUGUACGCAGUGGUGUCGGAAGAGCCCAUCUACAUCGUCACUGAGUACAUGAGCAAGGGGAGCCUCCUGGAUUUCCUGAAGGGAGAGAUGGGCAAGUACCUGCGGCUGCCACAGCUCGUCGAUAUGGCUGCUCAGAUUGCAUCCGGCAUGGCCUAUGUGGAGAGGAUGAACUACGUGCACCGAGACCUGCGGGCGGCCAACAUCCUGGUGGGGGAGAACCUGGUGUGCAAGGUGGCUGACUUUGGGCUGGCACGCCUCAUCGAGGACAACGAGUACACAGCACGGCAAGGUGCCAAGUUCCCCAUCAAGUGGACAGCCCCCGAGGCAGCCCUCUAUGGCCGGUUCACCAUCAAGUCGGAUGUCUGGUCCUUCGGCAUCCUGCUGACUGAGCUGACCACCAAGGGCCGGGUGCCAUACCCAGGGAUGGUCAACAGGGAGGUGCUGGACCAGGUGGAGAGGGGCUACCGCAUGCCCUGCCCGCCCGAGUGCCCCGAGUCGCUGCAUGACCUCAUGUGCCAGUGCUGGCGGAAGGACCCUGAGGAGCGGCCCACUUUUGAGUACCUGCAGGCCUUCCUGGAGGACUACUUCACCUCGACAGAGCCCCCAGUACCAGCCUGGAGAGAACCUAUAGGCCUGGAGCUCCUCCUGGCACCAGAGGCCUCGCUGUGGGGCACAGGGGCCUGGCUCCGUGCAGAGGGGCCACGUUUUGGGGAGCAGCCCCAGAGCAGGAUGUGGCAUGGUGAGGUGUCGGGUGCUCCAUCGCUCAUUAAAACUGUGCUGGGCCACCCUUAAUGAGGUGGCGAGAGGAGCCCCGGGCACUGCCACCAGCGGAGCUGGGGCUCAGGAUGGCAAAUGGAGCAGCAGGACGGCUCCUGGCACAGCCACGGCUUUCAGGACCCUCUUCUCACAGCAGCCAGAGAAAUUGGGGGACAACCCCUCCCACCUCAGACACACUGCCCCACACCUCCUGCACCCCCUUUUUUAAAUCAGCACAAAUUUCUUCACCCAUUCACCCCCCCACUUCGCUCUGGUCUGCCCGAGGCCGUUUGCAGAGACGUUUGGCGAUGCGGAAGGCACUGCUUUGGAUCGGAUGCAGCUGGAGAGCAGACCUUGGGAUGCCCCAUGGAGGCUGAUGGUCUCCCUUCCUCCGGCACCUGCCCGUCCUCGGGCGCAGGGCUCAGUGUUUUAGGGAACUACUUGUCUUUCAGCGCUGCUUUUGUCCACCGGAGUGUUUCUAGCCACCAUCCCCCCCGCUUCUGCCAUCCCCUUAUCAGGGAGCACGGAGCCACCGCGAGCCGUUUGCAGGCCCAGCUGCUCCCUGCUUGUGUGUUGGAGGUCGGAGUGAUCCAUGCACAUCCCGGUGCCCGCAGCAGCUCCCAUUGAGCACCCCUGUACAUAGUCCUCCAGCACCUCCCGCUACCUGACCAAGCUGCAUGUGCUGUCGUGUUCCUCCUGUGGUACCGCCGCCAUCUGUCCUUGUUUGUCCCCAGUUGGAGCCCCGCAUCACACCAUCCCCACCUGUGUCCUGGACCUCUUAUCCAUCACUCACACCCGGUGCCAAAAACACCUCCGGAGAACCAGGCUGCGCAAGCCUUAAGAGAAAUUGAGAGACUAGCCUGUUGGUCCGUUAAACAGGCUAACUUGACAACAUCACUCCUCGGGGACUUAUUGGAUGAUGUCACGAGUAUUCGACACGCGGUCCUGCAGAACCGAGCGGCUAUUGACUUCUUGCUUCUAGCUCACGGCCAUGGCUGUGAGGACGUUGCCGGAAUGUGUUGUUUCAAUCUGAGUGAUCACAGUGAAUCUAUACAGAAGAAGUUCCAGCUAAUGAAGAAACAUGUCAAUAAGAUCGGCGUGGACAGCGACCCAAUCGGAAGUUGGCUGCGAGGGAUAUUCGGGGGAAUAGGGGAAUGGGCCGUUCAUCUGCUAAAAGGACUGCUUUUGGGGCUUGUAGUUAUUUUAUUGCUAGUAGUGUGCCUGCCCUGCCUUUUACAAUUUGUGUCUAGUAGUAUUCGAAAGAUGAUUAAUAGUUCAAUCAACUAUCAUACUGAAUACAGGAAGAUGCAGGGCGGAGCAGUCUAGAGCUCAGUUAUAAUAAUCCUGCGAAUCGGGCUGUAACGGGGCAAGGCUUGACCGAGGGGACUAUAACAUGUAUAGGCGAAAAGCGGGGUCUCGGUUGUAACGCGCUUAGGAAGUCCCCUCGAGGUAUGGCAGAUAUGCUCUUGCACGGGUCAGGUAUAAUGUGCAGUUUGACUGAGGGGACCAUGAUGUGUAUAGGCGUCAAGCGGGGCUUCGGUUGUACGCGGAUAGGAAUCCCCUCAGGACAAUUCUGCUUGGAAUAUGAUGGCGUCUUCCCUGUUUUGCCCUUAGACUAUUCAGGUUGCCUCUGUGGAUUAGGGCUGGAGGCAGCACGGAUAGUCUGAUGGCCAAAUAAGGCAGGCAAGACAGCUAUUUGUAACUGCGAAAUACGCUUUUGCAUAGGGAGGGGGAAAUGUAGUCUUAUGCAAUACUCCUGUAGUCUUGCAACAUGCUUAUGUAACGAUGAGUUAGCAAUAUGCCUUACAAGGAAAGAAAAGGCACCGUGCAUGCCGAUUGGUGGUAGUAAGGUGGUACGAUCGUGCCUUAUUAGGAAGGUAUCAGACGGGUCUAACAUGGAUUGGACGAACCACUGAAUUCCGCAUCGCAGAGAUAUUGUAUUUAAGUGCCUAGCUCGAUACAAUAAACGCCAUUUUACCAUUCACCACAUUGGUGUGCACCUGGGUAGAUGGACAGACCGUUGAGUCCCUAACGAUUGCGAACACCUGAAUGAAGCAGAAGGCUUCAUU